UACGUAGGGAGCAAGCGUUGUCCGGAAUCAUUGGGCGUAAAGCGCGCGUAGGCGGCCCGGUAAGUCCGUUGUGAAAGUCAAAGGCUCAACCUUUGAAUGCCGAUGGAUACUGUCGGGCUAGAGUCCGGAAGAGGCGAGUGGAAUUCCUGGUGUAGCGGUGGAAUGCGCAGAUAUCAGGAGGAACACCAAUAGCGAAGGCAGCUCGCUGGGACGGUACUGACGCUAAGGCGCGAAAGCGUGGGGAGCGAACAGG
rnacentral:rRNA from 1 species